UACAGAGGGCCCGAGCGUUGUUCGGAUUCACUGGGCGUAAAGGGUGCGUAGGUGGUGCGGCAAGUCGGAUGUGAAAUCUCCGAGCUCAACUCGGAAAUGGCAUUGGAAACUACCUUGCUCGAGGGUUGGAGGGGGGACUGGAAUACUUGGUGUAGCAGUGAAAUGCGUAGAUAUUCGCAAGAACACCAGUGGCGAAGGCGGAUCUCUGGGCCAUUACUGACGCUGAGGAGCGAAAGCGUGGGGAGCGAACAGG
rnacentral:rRNA from 1 species